rnacentral:rRNA from 1 species
CUACGGGUCGCUGCAGUGAGGAAUUUUGCGCAAUGGGGGAAACCCUGACGCAGCAACGCCGCGUGAGUGAAGAAGGCUUUCGGGUCGUAAAGCUCUGUCAGAUAGAAAAAAAGUUCAUAUGUAAAUAGCUUAUGAAUCUGAUGGUACUAUCAGAGGAAGCACCGGCGAACUCCGUGCCAGCAGCCGCGGUAAUACGGAGGGUGCAAGCGUUGUUCGGAAUUACUGGGCGUAAAGGGCGUGUAGGCGGUAUGGUAAGUCAGAUGUGAAAGCCCUGGGCUUAACUCAGGAAGUGCAUUUGAUACUGCCAUCCUUGAGUAUGGGAGAGGAGAGUAGAAUUCCCAGUGUAGAGGUGAAAUUCGUAGAUAUUGGGAGGAAUACCCGUGGCGAAGGCGACUCUCUGGACCAAUACUGACGCUGAGACGCGAAAGCGUGGGGAGCAAACAGGAUUAGAUACCCUAGUAGUC